UAUCUGUGCACAAUAAGCCGAUGCUCUGGAAUUAUCAAUAUAUAUGUAUAUGAAGAAAGCAUGGUAAUGUGCACAGGGAAUGAAGGAAAAAAUAGGGUCAUUAUGUCUGCUCACUUUGAUGCACUCGGGUGAUGAUCUCGUGAGCCUGGAUUGCACCCACACCUAAUUCAUUUAGUUUUUCAUUCGUCCAUUUUGAUUAUUUUGUGUUGCGUGAAUGUGUACUUACAUAAUUAGUCAGGAUGGUUUACUUUUGUCUUAUUUCUGAUGAUGAGAUAUCUGAAUUAAGGAUCGAUACAGGUAAACAUAACUUAGGUUAUUUGAACAUUUCAAAAUCCAAAAUUUGUGAUUUUAGAUAUUAUUUAUGUGGUGGUUAAUAUGUCUUAAUAUUAUCUUCUAUUUGUUGUUAAAGAUUGUCGAUUUUCACGUUUGUUUGAGUAGUAGGUAAAUGAUGUAGAAAAAUUCUAUAACCUGUUUAAUAGUAUUGAUUGUUAAGUUGAAUGUUUCAUUAUCAAAAAUUCAUUUGACUAUGCAAACCAGCUUAUUUGCUUAGCAAUUCAUAUUUCCCGAUGUUUUCCUAUUUUAUUUUUCAUUAAGUAGGUUUUUGAUAUCCAUUGCGCAUUCCUUCCAAGUUUUUCCGCUUAUAUACUCCUAAUUUGUUUCUGUACGAAGUUAGAGGGUAUUAUAUUAGAUACAUUAUACAUGCUAGUAUAUGAUUCAAAGGUUGAGAAUUGUUUUUAGAUUAGGCAUAAACAUUGCUGAGUAGAUAAAAUUAUCCCAAUAGCUGCAUCAUUAACAGCUAAUUAGGCUACACUUGCUACAGAUUCAGUUGUUGCAACUUUGUGGCACACUUUAGAAUGUUACUUGUCACACGGCCACUUUAUACUAAUUAUGUUAAGCUAACAGAAUUUUAGAUUAUUUUUCUCUCCUACCAACAAUUUGUUAUAGGCUAUUCAUAACUUUUUCUUGAUUAGCUGAUUAUGCACACCCUUCUUAUUAUUUGUUUUUUUUUCCCGAUAGAUGGAUUUCGUUGAACUAGAAAACAACCAGCAUGUGUCAGAAGCAUUUUCCGAUCAGCUAUCUUUACCUAGUUCCCCUGGUACAAAUGAGAUCUAUGACGAAUCACCAAUAUGCCCUCGUAUAGGUGAGCAGUUCCAGGUAGGAAUUCCAAAUUUGGCAACAGAAGCUGAACGCCAGCAGCUAUGGUCUUGCCCAACUGAUAAUGGCCUCAUGCUCCGGUUCAAUUAUCCUGUGGGAAUAGGAUUAUCUAUUCCAAUUAUGUGGGUUCAUCAUCAAAAUGUCAGCAUCAAAGAAGAAGGAAAAGACUCAAAAGUGAAUAGAAGUGGAUGUAAAGAAGAAAAUUCAUACGAUCACGGGACACUUUCUAAAACUUUGAUAUGUAAAGUUGAAUCUGGAAAUGACCAAGAAUACAUUCCACUUCCUGGUUCAUCGACCUCCUCUUGGAGUGAUGUGGAGGCGCAGUGUUUUCUCCUUGGACUUUAUAUUUUCGGGAAGAAUCUUGAACAGCUUAGAAAAUUUGUAGUGUGUAAAAUGAUGGGGGAUAUAUUAUCCUACUAUUAUGGGAGCUUCUAUAGGUCUGAGGCAUAUCGAAGAUGGUCAGAGUGUAGAAAGAUAAGAAGCAGGAGGUGCAUACUUGGGCAGCGCAUUUUUACAGGUUGGAGACAGCAGGAGUUGUUGUCACGCUUGCUUCCUGCAAUACCGAAAGGAGCCCAGGAUUCUUUGCUUGAGGCAUGCUUUCUAACUUUUGUAUCUGUAGUUAAAAUGUAAUUUCAUAUGCUUCGUGUUUAUAAAAAUACAAUAGGGUUAGUCUUGCCUGAAAAAAUACAAUAUGUUUUUGAUGUUUCUUAAUAGUCAUCUUACACAUUUUCUCAGAUCACUGUAGAUGCUGUAUAUAACAUGUGCUCACAUUUUACUGCACAUCCUACUUGUAGACACCUGUAAAAUGUCGCCUUAAUUUGCAAAGAAGUCAAUGUAUUAGAUAGUACACACAAAUAUGUGUUAUCUUUCUAUUUUCCCGUAUAAAUUACACAUUAGUGGUUUGUGGAUUAUAUUGUAAGUUGAGUCGAUAUUCAUGUUAUGGACAACAAUCUCAGAUUUCAGAUUUUGUCUUCAAAUUAUGCAAUUUAAUUAACCGAUAUGAUGAGAUGCUGAUAAAAUUUUUUGUAGCUGCAAUAAUGUGUUUGUUUUUCUAGGAAUUAUAUCAUGGAGCAUUAACUGUUGUUGGAUGAUAAUUUUGAACUUUGUAGUUAUUCCGCUUGGCCAAUUUCUGCUAUGAAACUAAUAGUUAUAUAUUAGGAAUUUUAAUUCUAAAAUAACCUUAUGAAUUUUUUUUGUAAUAUGCUCAAUAAGAAAGUAAAUGGUUGACUGUCUUGCUUCCUUCAAACUAUAUACUUUUCAGUAGAUAAUGUAAAUUAGAUAUUCAUUGUACCCGAUUGAACUUUAAUUUUGCUGUUUUUGAGAUGUAGUCAUAGCGGCUUGUUUUGAACAUCUUAAGAAAGCCCUCUAUACAGUUAUAUUAAAAGCCAUAUUGCUAAUGAUCUAACUACCCUAUUACUUUAGGGUAGAACUAUAGUGAGCCAAUUGUAACGAUGUAAAUUGAUGUGUAACCUGCUAAGAUCAGGCACCGUUGUAGUUUUGACCACCAUUUUUCAUAAAUCGAAAGAUAUAAUAUAAUUACCGAAUCUUUCUGGAUGCUAGUAUCAAUUUCGUAGCUUUUUUCAAUCAAUUAAUGCGGUGACUGAUAUUGGUGACCUUAUAUUCUGUGAACUGAAGUUAUCAGAUGUUUUUCUCUAAACUAAAUCUUAUGAGCUCAAAAUACACAUGUUUAUCAUCCAUGUGGUUAUGUAAAGCAGAAUUAUUUCUAACUGAUACAAUUACUAUAAAUCAAUAUGUGGUCUGAUUCGUUAGCUGCUAUGCUCUUUAGGUUUUUGGAGAUAUGAAAAAAUCAUUAUUGUCGCUGUUAUAAACAUCACACCGCUUUUCUGCUCUUCUCUAUUGUACGCCAAUACUCUUCAAAUAUUAUUAAGAUUUAAUAUGGCAAUAUGGGAUCCAUCUAUUUUACUCUAUUUUCCCUUAUUUACCAUAAAGAGGAAGUGUACUCGAUAAAAAGUUAGUUGUACAAAAAAAAAGGAGAAUAUUCUCCAGUUUUGAAGGAAGUGCAUGUAUAAACAACGAAAAAAAUGAUUUGAUACAGGCUAGAAUCUCUCUUCGGUGAAUCUUUCUUAACAAUUAAUAUUCCUUAUAUUUGUUCCGAGCAUUCAAAUAGUAAUAGGAUUUAUGAAGACAAACUUUGUAGCAUUCUCUCUGCAUGUUGUGUGUAGGUUCGUGCCUGUAUGCUAUUUCGUGUGACCAUUCAAGAUUUCUCAGAUGGUUUUCACUCCAAUGGUAUUUGCUCGUUUCAGCAUUUUAUUUAGUUUGUUCCUUUUACUUUUAGAGAUCAGUUUGCUUUUAAAUUUUGUUCAUUUUGCUCUCGUCCAUGAGUAAUAUCAUAUAGUAAAUAUGUAGAACUUCUUCGCUUCUUGCUCCGUCCUGACAGUAUGGUUUAUAUCAAAAGCUUACCUUUAUUCUUUAAUAGAUAUUUCUCUUCACCCUCUUAGUCUUAUGUCUUGGCAGGUUGUCAAGUCAUUCAAUGAGGGCAGAGCUUCUUUUGAGGAAUUCAUUUUUACUUUGAAAUCCAUUGUUGGUACACAAGCCCUCAUAGAAGCCAUCGGAAUCGGCAAGGGAAAGCAAGAUCUCACUGGAGUCAUUCUGGAUCCAAUCAGAUCGAACCAACCUGCCUCUUCCCGAUCCGAAAUACCUGUCGGCAAAGCAUGCUCCUCUCUCACAUCCAGCGACAUAAUCAAGUUCUUAACCGGUGAUUUCAGGUUGAGCAAGGCAAGAUCAAACGAUCUUUUCUGGGAAGCUGUUUGGCCUCGCCUUCUUGCAAGAGGGUGGCACUCUGAACAGCCAAAGCACCUCAAUACUGUUGGUUCAAAGAACACACUAGUAUUUCUCAUGCCGAGUAUUAAGAAGUUUUCGAGAAAGAAGCUCGUGAAAGGCGAUCAUUACUUCGAUUCGGUUAGUGAUGUAUUGAGCAAAGUAGCAUCUGACCCAAGGCUUUUGGAGUUAGAAGGUGAUGGUGUUGAUGAAAAUGGGUGGGCUGUGGAUACUAGCAAUACCAACAAAGAUGGUAUGUCUGAUCAGCAUCGGCGAAGCUAUCUCCGCCCGAAGCUUCCAAAUUGCAACUCAGAACUUAUGAAAUUUACUGUUGUGGACACUAGCUUAGUUCAAGGAGAGGGGCCAUUCAAGGUGAGAGAACUGAGGAGUUUACCUAUUGAUGUUGCGUUUAAUUAUGAACCUUCUUCAGCUCAUUCUACAAAGAGUGAGAGCUCGUCAGAGCAGUCGGAUUCUGAUGAGAGCUCAUUGGACGAUCAAGGAAGUUCCGAUCAACAUACACUUGAUGAUAAGAAUCUCGGAAAAAGCACAAAUAUGGAGAUUAAUGGUCAUGUUUCUGAUGGUCAACUCUUUGAUGCCUUAAACAGUAAAACUUCUAUUAAGGAUGAAAUGUGUUACCUAAGCCAAAGGACAAAACCGGGGCAGCAAGUGUAUCUAUCCCCUAUAGUGAAAAGGAGAAGAUUAGCCGCCACAUCGAAGUAUGACGGGAGUGGUCGCCGAACUGCUUUUGCAAGAUGCCAUCAGUUGAAUAAAGAGGAAACCGAUCGAAAGUUGGAUUCACCUAAAGCAAACGAAGUCGGAGGAGAGGAUGCCCUUAAUCACAGGAACAAGGCCAUUGACUCCUCAACUAAAGAUAGCCCAGGCGAGGGAAAAAAUCAUGUAAAAACUGAGGAAAAGGCCAUAAAGGAAGAGCCUCAUCUUCAACCGCACUCUUUCAUCGAUCUAAACAUUCCACAAGAACCACCAGAACAUGAGAUUGGCGAAAACUUGUCCAUAGCUUUGUCGGUGAGCAAGGAUGGGCCAUCAAAUUCAGAUAAACGUGCAUAUACGUCAGAAACCAAGCCAGCGGAUGUAGAAACUUCUAAUAAUGAGACGAAUAUCGAGAUGAAGACUUGGAGGCAGAGCACCAGAAACCGACCGCCAACUACUAGGGCUUUGGAGGCUCUUGCAUGUGGGUUUAUUGGCACAAAGAGGAAGAGCCGGGACGUGAAGGUGCCAUCUUCGAGGCCCUCUCGACGGGCCCGCAAACCGGUUGAAGCCCACGUGCCUUCUUCAUCCCCUAGUAUCGGAGAUUCAAGUCCUGUAAUAGAUGACUUGCAGAAGAGCAACAUGAAUAACACAGUUCCAUUGAGCGAGUCCCAUCCGCCUUCCGAUACAAAAGGGACUCACGAGCUUGGAGUACCUUAGCCCACAUUAGGGUUUGGUUGCUAGAGGCCAACUCAGUGGGUGGAUCUUCAUUCUCAAUGUGUCCAAGGAAUGGUGGGGUAGUGAGAAGUUGAUGAUUUAUCAGUUGAAAAUCCUUUCCUUUCCUCAAUAUAGAACUGGUCUAGAGGAGAUUGAAAACACAUUCUAUGGUCUCAAGGUGAUUGAUUAUUGGCUUCAUUUUCCUGUUUAGGUGGAGCUAGAACACCUAAGAGGCUUAAUAAGAUUCAGCUUCACUAUGGGUAUUCUUGAGGAGGUAUCACACUGGCUCAUCCGUCGACUUAAAACUCAUUAAGAGUACUUCGUGAAUUCUACUUGUUAUUGCUGCUCAAUUGGGCUUAUUCAUCAUGUAAUUGACAGAAUAAAUUGAAGAGCAGUUGCUAACUUGGCCUUCAAGAUGGAAUACAAAAGAAGUUGGUUAGUUUCAUUUGAUACUUUAGCAAUCAAGUCAUGUUCUAUGCUUCCUUGUAAUGCAAACUUUACAUUAUUGUAUCAUCGUAAGCAUUGUAAAAGUUGUUUUCUUUUAGUUGGUAAGUUUUCUCUUAUUGUUGAUGUUCUCUGCGCUCUUUUUGCAUCAUUAAAAGCUAGAUCGCCUUAAAAUUCAAUUUAACGCCAUAUUUAUAGGUAAUUAAAUGAAAAUUUACUUAGAUUUUUUAACAUAUUGUAUUUUUUUUUCCAUCAAGAUUCAGGAAUUGCUUUAUAUCCAUGUAUGUAGAUUACACUUUUGCUUCUGUGAUUAAUGUUCAUUUUGUUGAUUCUAUUGGGCUUAUCGUUCUCUGGCACAAUGUUCUUGAUUUAGCAGUCAUGUGGUAUGAUUAUAGUAAGUCAAUUUAGUUUCAGUUUGAAUCAAUUGUGAUUCGCAUUUACAUAACAAAAACUUGCAGAAAGAUCAUGAUUUACCAAAUACAGUUUGAAAUUUGAUUAUUACUUUCAAGAAUGGUUUUCUUUGUUUCAUCUUUCACAUGAUUUUGUUUUGGGAGAACUUCAUUGAGAGGAAUUUUCUCAGAGGGCUUGUUUUGUUUACAUAAUUUAAAAUUUCAUCAUAAAAUUAAUUUUUUAAAAAUAUCAAGGCUAAAAUACACUUUACCUCCUUCAAUACGUCUAUUUUUAAAAAAUAUCAAGACUAAAAUAAAGUACACUUUAUCUCCUUCAUGUAAUUUGUUUGAAGGAUGAAAGUUUGGAAAAAUAAACGGAGUUAAAAGUUGAAGUCUCACACUUUGACUGUUGGCGACAAUUGACCUAGAUGAAAUUUUACGAUAAGUUGCCUUUUUAUUGAUAAUUUGAUUUAUAUUCUUAUAUUUAAUUGCAAAUCUUUUUUCUUGCCAUUUCUUAUAUUUGGUCAUAAUUACUUUUGGCUGAUCUUUCUGUUAGGAUUUGUUCUGGUCCCAUUUCUAAUUUGGCAGCGAAGAUGCUUUUGAUUCUCUUUUGCGUUUAAAGGCCAUCCUUUUUUUUUCUUCUGCCAUUAGUGAAAAAUUGUGAAAAAUUUUAAUUUCGCAAAAUGUUGGCACAAGAAACUUUUUUCUUGUGCUGGGUGGUCAUUAGAGGAGACACUUGUGUUCUUUUUUGUUUUUGUUUUUGUUUUUGGAAGUUCUCCGUGUUUCCAGUGUUCAGAAUGCAGGAAGGGGCUCUCUAGCCUGCGGCUGCAAACUGAAGCUUCUGAUGGGAAAGAAGUGAAGAACUCUCUCAGCUUUCAUUUGAAGGCAGUUUGUUUGGAGAAAUUGAUGGUUAUUGAGGAGAAAAUUGAGAGAGAGAGAGCUGAAAUCGAAGGUAAAUGUUUGGUUGAAGCUGACACAUUAUUCAUGUAGCAACAAUGUGGCUUUGAUGAGGUCUUUUGAAUGUUGUUAAUGGAGUUAAAUGUUAAGGUGACUUGAAUUGCUUAAUUUUUCCCUAUGUAAGGAAAUUACAAUUCCAAUAUAUGUGUAUGCUGUGUUUUAUCUUAUGAGUUCUAUAGUAUCACUGUCAUACAUCCAAAUUGAAUUGUAGAUGUUCAAAUGUUUGUUUGGUAUGGGUUUACUGAAGUUUGUGUAACUUUUUCUCUGGUGAAAAGUUAGAAUGGCCUGUGGUUUUCAGAAUUCUUUAAAGAACUGCUGUCAAAGAAAUUUUAGAAGAGUGACAUGAAUGCUAAUGCUUUUUCAAACUACUCUCUACUAAAACAACUUGUAUGCAAAAUUUCUAAAACAACUUGUAUAUAGUUGUAAUUACUCCAAAGUUGUAAUUGUAUGUAUAUUCAAGUUUAGUGUUUGGUUUGAUGUAUUUAAAAUUAAGUGUUGCAAUUAGAAUUAUGGAGGAGGUUCAACUGCGACCAUUACAACUAUGCUUAAAUUGAUUGCAGUUUUGACCGCAAAAUUUUAAAUAUAAAAUAAGUUUAUUUUUCUAAAAAUUUGUAGAUAAAACUAUGGUUGAAUUGAUCAUAGUUUUAACAAUAGCUGUUGGAGAAAAAAAAUUUAAAUAAUAGUGAACUCAUUUAAAUAAUAGCCGAUUGUAACAAGCUCCAUCAAUCAGGAUCCAUUUCAUCCCUACUUAUUACUCUAUAUAUAAAAUAAUAAAAUUUUACAAAUAUACUUUUUAUCUGCAAAUAAUUAAGUAAAUAUUUAUAGUUAGUGCGUUUUACUAUAUUCGAUUAAACAACAUAUAUCUAAUUAUAGCUGCUAUAUUUUAAUCGUCAUACAUUUUUAAUUAUACUAUAUAAUUAUAUUCAAUCCAAGGGCCAUAAAUAUUCCUAAAUAUUAAAAUUCAUAUUUCUUUUGGGCUGAAGAGGGAAACAAAAUAAUUAUCUAAUCAUUUUAAACAUCUAAAUUUGGGAACUCUACCACCACAGAUUUAAUUAUACUACCAAUACCAAAAUAAUACCAGCAUAGAAAGGAAACAAUAGCAAUAAGAUUUUGGCUGAUUUAAUACUGAGGACAUCUAACCACAUGGAACAUAAUACAUUUUUUACAUACAAAAAUAAAAGGACUUUUUUUGCACAGUAAUCCUAUUAAAAUUUUUAAUUUGCAAAGUAAUCCUUUCAAAAUUUUAUGUGGGCAACUAUCCUAAGAAAUACGGUGAAUUGUGUUCACCGUCAUUUUUUUGAAGUUGUUAAGAUUAUAUGAAGAUUAUUAAAUUUUUAUUUAUAGUUAAAAUUAUAUAGAUAGGUUGUUAAGAUAUUUUAAGGUGUAAGAAUUAUAUGUGAUUUCUUAAAAUUUUUAUGCGGUUGUUAAAAUUAUAUAUAGAAAUAAAAAAAAUAAUAAAUCAUUCACCUUUUAUACUUUAAAGAGAAAUGUAGUAAUCAUUUACCGUUUCUACUAUAAAAAAAAAGACGGUGAAUGAUUCACCGUCUUUUAAAUUCCAUCAAAAGUUGGAUAAAAUAAGGUUAUUUCAAUAAAUAAUUUUUUUACAAGAUUAUUUAGCCAAUUAUAAAUUUUUAAAAGAUUAAAAUGAAAAAAAAAUUGAAAUAAAAUAUAGACAAUUAAUGAUUUAAAAAUUGGGUCGAAUUGGUCGGUUUGACCAGUUUACUCGUCAACCAAGUUAUAAAACAGUUUGAUAAAUCAAAAAAUCAUUUUGAAUUGUUAGAACCAGUGGUUCAAAGUGAACCAAUCUAAUUUUAAUCAAAUUGGACAAAUUUAUGAAUGAAGUCAUAUUAAAAUUCAAUGACUUAAAAUCAACUUAUUUGAUUUUAUUUUCUAUUAUUACAUAUUAGUAUAACAAAAAAUAAAAUUUGAAAAUUUAUAUCUACUUAAUUUGAUCUAAAAAUCAGCAUUUUAUAAUUAGUUUGAUACUUUAAUAACAAUAUUAAUAUAUAUAUAAAUAUAAAAUAAAAUUAAAAAUAAUAAAUUAAAAUUUUAUUUUGUCAUGCUGAUUUUAUUGAUUCAAUCAACAAUAGGGUGACUAUUGACCUCAGCAAAUCGAAUAAGGGUAUUUUGGUAAUUACACAUCGAGUCGCGAUCGCACCCCGUAAACCCUAACCCUAGCUCUAAACCCUGGCCUUCGUCGUCUUCGUCUAUAUAUACUUCUCAUGGCUCUUCUCAUCCCCCGCCUCCUCCUCGGCCUUUAAUGGGAGAGUGUUCGCUCGGCGCUUCCUCCUCGGCUCCGAAUGCGUCUUUGGAGACUCUCCCGUAACCAAAAUUUCCCUUUUCCCCUCUUCUAUUCUUAAUGUUUUCGCAUUUAUUCUCGUUUUGAUUUUGUUUAAAUUGUGAAAUCGAAGGCUAUGAUGUACAAAUCUACCUAUUUUCUGAGAGGAAUUUUAAAAUUUUUUUUUGGUUCUUCUAUGAUUAGAAGAUUCCAAUGGAUCCUUCUGAGCCUUCUUAGAUAUUAUUUUAUCAUUAUUAUUUUGUUACACUAGUUCUGUUUUUAAUAUGUUUGGAAAAAAAAAAUUAUGAUUAAUUUCCGUUGAUAUGAUGAUAAAAUUUCUCGGAAAUAAAAAAAAUUUAAUGUGUCGACACGAAAAAUCAGACUACAAUUAUCUGAUCAGCGGUUCUCUUUCAAUCUCUAAAUUUGGGAUAAUUAAGAAGAGAAAUGAAGCAAAUUGCGAUUUAUUUGUAAUGUUUGGAUCUUUAGAAGAAAAGGAAAAGGAAAAAAAAGUCUUUGGUUGUGUUUAUUUCUUUCUCUUUCUUUCUCAUAAUUUUUUGGAAAAAAAAUUAGACCUUUAUAACUAAAUAAAGAAAAUUUUCUAACUAUUUAUUUUCUCUACUCUUUUUUUUUUCCUCUAUUGAAAUAAAGCAUCUACGUAAGUAUUUCAUCAUAGAUAAUUUUGUUUUCUUGAACUUACCUGUGCACAAUAAGCCGAUGCUCUGGAACUAUCAAUGUAUGUAUAUGAAGGAAGCAUGGUAAUGAGCACAGAGAAUGAAGGAAAAAAAUAGGGUCAUUAUGUCUGCUCACUUUGAUGCCCUCGGGCGAUGAUCUCGCGGGCCUGGAUUGCACCCACACCUCAUUCAUUUAGUUAUUCAUUUUUUUCAUUUUGAUUCGAUUAUUGUGUGUUGCGUGAAUGUUUGCUUACAUAAUUAGACAUGAUUGUUUACUUUCAUCUUAUUUCUGAUGAUGAGAUAUAUGAAUUAAGGAUCGAUAUAGGUAAACAUAACUUAGGUUAUUUGAACAUUUUAAAAUCCAAAAUUUGUGAUUUUAAGAUAUUAUUUAUGUGGUGGUUAAUUGGUCUUAAUAUUAUUUGUGGUUAAAGACUCUUGAUUUUUGACAUUUGCUUGAAUAGUAGGUAAAUGAUGUAGAAAAAUUCUAUUUCAUGUUUAAUGGAAUUGAUUGUCAAUUUGAAUGUUUCAUUAUUGAAAAUAAGGUGGAAGUAAACAAUUCUAUUUUGCCUUUAAUGUAUUCUAAUUUUACCUUGCAUGUAUGUAGUAAUGGUUUGAUUUAAUUCUAGAAAUUUGUAGAUUGGUCGAUGAUGCAAAAUCCUAAGGCUUGUUUCUCAAAACAUUCGCAGUGGCCGCCUGAGAGCUUUCGCCUCGCCGGGCUUGAGAGCUUGUGCUGCUCUAUCCUUCCUUGGAUGUCUGAGACCACCUUAUAUAGUUUCAUUUCAGCCAUUUCUCGUUUUGAUCAUUAAGCUCUAUUUUUAUUUUUCAGUUCAACAUCAUGUCUUUUGUUUGAAGGGAUUAAUGUGAUGGCUUAUUUUCUCAAACAUGUUAUCAUAAACUCAUUUUUAGAAAAAUCAAUGGUGUUAAGUUUAAACGAGGGAUUUACGUGCAUGCUAAGCACUUACUAGCAUGGUACAACACGGUGUGCCGUGGUAUUUAUGUAUGUCGUUCACAAAAAUUGCUCUCUGUUGACACGCAGUAGCAUGUGAUAGUUAUUUCCUUUGGCAUUGAUAUUUAAUUGAUUUUAUGUAUAUCUUUAUCAAAUUUUUGCUCUUUAUUAAUGUUACUAGUCAAUUUCAAAAGAAAAGAUGGUUUUGAACCUUUCAAAUGGCACGGGGGUCGUAUCAUGCCAAUACAUUAUUGGCGUGAUACCACAUAGUAGGCACAGUUUGUGCCAAUCGGCACUUUAAUCUUUGUUUAACACUUUGGUUGUGAGAAAUUAAAAUUUGUUGACCUAGAUAAAGUUUUUAUGAUAAGUUGUCUUUUAUUGAUAAUUUGGUUCCAAUUCUUAUAUUUGAUCAUAAUUCUUUUGGUUUGUCAUUUCUUACAUUUGAUCAUAAUUUUUUUGGCGUAUCUUUCUCUAGGUCUUGUUCUGGUGCCAUUUCUAAUUCGGCAGUGAACUUGCUUUGAUUCUUUUUUGCAUUUUAAAGGCUAUUUAAAAACUGUGAAAACUUUUUCUUGUGCUCUGAUGCUUAUCAGAGGACUCACUCUUGUUUGUUUUUCUUUUUGGAAGUAUUCUCUGUUUCUGGUGUUCAGAAUGUCGGAAGGUGCUCACCGUCCUGGGGUUGCGAACCGAAGUUUUUUGAGGGGAAAGGAAAAAUUCUAGACAACUUUCAUUUGAAGGCAGUUUGUUUGGAGAAAUUGAUGGUGUUAUUUAAGGAGAGUUUUGAGAGAUAGCUGAAAUGUAGGCUAAAUGCUUUGUUGAAACCUACACACAUUGUUCAUGUAGUAAGAGUGUAGUUCUGAUGGAGUCUCUGGAAUGUUGUUAAUGGCCUUAAACGAUAAGGUGAGUUGAAUUACCUAAUUUUUUCCAAUGUAAAGCAUAUAUGUAACAUCUGAGUUUUGUAGUCUCACUGUAAUACAACUAAAUUUGAGUUGUAGA
rnacentral:lncRNA from 1 species